UACGUAGGGGGCAAGCGUUGUCCGGAAUCAUUGGGCGUAAAGAGCGUGUAGGCGGUCCGGUAAGUCAGCUGUGAAAGUCAAGGGCUCAACCCUUGAAAGCCGGUUGAUACUGUCGGGCUAGAGUCCGGAAGAGGCGAGUGGAAUUCCCGGUGUAGCGGUGAAAUGCGCAGAUAUCGGGAGGAACACCAAUAGCGAAGGCAGCUCGCUGGGACGGUAUUGACGCUAAGGCGCGAAAGCGUGGGGAGCAAACAGG
rnacentral:rRNA from 1 species